UACAGAGGUCUCAAGCGUUGUUCGGAUUCAUUGGGCGUAAAGGGUGCGUAGGUGGCGCCGUAAGUCAAGGUGUGAAAUUUCGGAGCUUAACUCCGAAACUGCAUUUGAUACUGCGGUGCUUGAGGACUGGGAGAGGAGACUGGAAUUUAACGGUGUAGCAGUGAAAUGCGUAGAGAUCGUAAGGGAAGACCAGUCGGCGGAAG
rnacentral:rRNA from 1 species